CAUUACUGACAGGAUAAACACUAUUUCAGUAUGUUGUAGUGGAAGUUAUAGGGGUUUUUAAUGGUGUUGUUGUGGUUCCAGUGACAAAUUAACAAGAUAUCUGCAUCACUGACAGGAGGUUGUAGUGGAAGUUAUAGGGUUUUAAAUGACAUUUCUUGCAGUACUGACACCAGCCGCGUCACCGCCCUCCACAAGACCAAUGACGGCGCAAGCAGUCUGGCCUCCCAAGACAGCCCUCAUUGAGCUGUUGAGGUUAACGACAGCACACGCGGAGCCGAGGCCAUCCUCUUGAGUGUUGGCCCAACACAACACUCAGUCUGGUGCCAAGGUUAAGAGUGAUGACUGCGUGAGUGGCGCUGCUUCCCUCAGUACCUCGGUGGUUAGUGACGCAGAGGACCUGAGGGACACCAUUUUGUAGGACAUCAACCCGACCUGAGCCGACUGUGGGAGUGACAAAUGGUUCCCUGGACGCCGUGUGUCACCGGAUUGCAGGCGAGCGUCAGGCGGACCAUGAGUCGGGACGCUGCCAAGUCCGUUGACCAGAACCUGACCAGGAAAAUUCAAGAAGCGUGGCCUUGACCUUGCUCAGCAGUUGUGCCCUCACCUGACCUACGUUAUGUUGCUCUGCGUUCAUUGUUUCUGGCAAACCCAGUGUCUCGCGUCCCCUCAGCGUGGCCAAGUCCCCUCCCGCGGUGCCAUUCUCUCAAAUCAGCCACAACAUGUCAAGGCGGCCAGUCCCGGCUCCCUGCAGAGGCUAUUUGUGUUCUCACCAUUUCUCUCCACCGUUGCUGCUCGCUGGCCCUUCUUCCCCCUCACACCCGCCCGGGACUGACAUCACAAGUGGAAGAUAUAACCCAUUUGCGAGAGUUUUCAUGGCGACGAGGGAGCAACAGUGUGUGUAAAGGUCAAUUUCCUGGACACUGGAGGCUAAAAAUUGCUGCAUACUCAAGGUAUUCCGCGUCACAGAAAACGGAAUUUGCCGCCUGUGAGCGCCUGGAUGGGGGGGUGUCUCAAGGCGCCCGUGCAUUGUGGCGUGGCUCGUGUGGCUGGUGGGUGCUUGCUCCAUCUUGUGAGAAUGUGGCGUAUACCUCUAGAUUUUUUUCAUGGUUUGAUAUUAAUAUGUGAGAUGUAGUACGAGAUUAUGUUUCUGCGUGUGUGAGAGGUUAGUUAAUAGAAAAAAAAAAUAAGUAAAAAAAACUAAGAGUCAUUGUCGUUCAUUAACAAAACUAAGUAGAAAAUGGUUU